rnacentral:rRNA from 1 species
GACGUAAGUGGCGAGCGUUAUCCGGAAUCACUGGGUGUAAAGGGUGUGUAGGCGGCGAUGUAAGAUUCAUAUAUAAUGAUAGGGCUCAACCCUGUUUUUGUGUGAAAGACUGCAUUGCUGGAGUGACGAAGAGGAAACUAGAACUCCAGGUGUAGCGGUGAAAUGUGUAGAUAUCUGGGGGAAUACCAAUGGCGAAGGCAGGUUUCUGGUUGUCAACUGACGCUGAGACACGAAAGCGUGGGGAUCAAACGGG